rnacentral:rRNA from 1 species
AUUGAACGCUGGCGGCAGGCUUAACACAUGCAAGUCGAGCGGAGUUGUGGUGCUUGCACCAUAACUUAGCGGCGGACGGGUGAGUAAUGCUUAGGAAUCUGCCUAUUAGUGGGGGACAACAUCUCGAAAGGGAUGCUAAUACCGCAUACGUCCUACGGGAGAAAGCAGGGGAUCUUCGGACCUUGCGCUAAUAGAUGAGCCUAAGUCGGAUUAGCUAGUUGGUGGGGUAAAGGCCUACCAAGGCGACGAUCUGUAGCGGGUCUGAGAGGAUGAUCCGCCACACUGGGACUGAGACACGGCCCAGACUCCUACGGGAGGCAGCAGUGGGGAAUAUUGGACAAUGGGGGGAACCCUGAUCCAGCCAUGCCGCGUGUGUGAAGAAGGCCUUUUGGUUGUAAAGCACUUUAAGCGAGGAGGAGGCUACUGGUAUUAAUACUACUGGAUAGUGGAUGUUACUCGCAGAAUAAGCACCGGCUAACUCUGUGCCAGCCGCCGCCGUAACAC